UGGAGAGCCAAUGGGCUACCGGGCAGGGAAACGUGACGUCGCGUCAUAAGGCCACGCCCCAACAGAUCGGGCGCCUCCCGCGGCUUCGUGACCCCUGCCUUUCUUCGCGGAGCCUACAAAGCCGUGUCUUUCUCUAAGGUUGGACUUACGUGUCUGGAAAACGAAGAUCAUGCCCUUCCCCUCCCCAUCAUGGGCGCCGCUGAUGUACGAUUCCUUAAAUCCUAGCCUCGAAGCAGCGCCUGCAAAGCCUUGCCGGGCGGCUCGCCCUCUUCCGUAAGAAUUCAACUGUCCCUUUUGCAAAACAGUAGAGGGCGCCCACCUUAAAAAAAAAAAAAUACAAAGUUUGAAAAGCUACAUCACGUAGUUAACUUGGUUUUCUCAGGAUGAUGAGACUGUAGGUAGUUUUUUGUACUUUUCUGUGAUAUCUUUUUUUUUUGUAUCAUGUAGUUUUAAAACAAAUAAAAAAUAAGUUUUCCUUUUCGGA